rnacentral:rRNA from 1 species
UACAGAGGGUGCGAGCGUUAAUCGGAAUUACUGGGCGUAAAGAGCGCGCAGGCGGCUUGGCAAGUCGGGUGUGAAAUCCCGGGGCUCAACCCCGUGACUGCAUCCGAUACUGUCAGGCUAGAGGUAGGUAGGGGAGAUCGGAAUUCCUGGUGUAGCGGUGAAAUGCGCAGAUAUCAGGAGGAACACCGGUGGCGAAGGCGGAUCUCUGGGCCUUACCUGAUGCUCAGGCGCGAAAAGCUAGGGGAGCGAACAGG